GUGGGGAAUCUUCCGCAAUGGGCGAAAGCCUGACGGAGCAACGCCGCGUGAGGGAAGAAGGCCUUCGGGUUGUAAACCUCUGUUUUCAGGGAAGAAAGAAAUGACGGUACCUGAAGAGUAAGCCCCGGCUAACUACGUGCCAGCAGCCGCGGUAAAACGUAGGGGGCAAGCGUUGUCCGGAAUUACUGGGCGUAAAGGGCGCGUAGGUGGUUCAUUAAGUUAUAGGUGAAAGUUCGGGGCUCAACCCCGUGAUUGCCUGUGAUACUGGUGGACUUGAGUGCAGGAGAGGGUAGCAGAAUUCCCAGUGUAGCGGUGAAAUGCGUAGAUAUUGGGAGGAAUACCAGUGGCGAAGGCGGCUAUCUGGACUGUAACUGACACUGAGGCGCGAAAGCGUGGGGAGCAAACAGG
rnacentral:rRNA from 1 species